rnacentral:rRNA from 1 species
GAACCCUGAUCCAGCACUGCCGCGUGUGUGAAGAAGGCCUUCGGGUUGUAAAGCUCUUUUGUCCGGGAAGAAAUCGCGCUGGUUAAUACCUGGCGUGCAUGACGGUUCCGUAAGAAUAAGCACCGGCUUACUUCGUGCCAGCAGCCGCGGUAAUAA